GUGGGGAAUAUUGCACAAUGGGCGAAAGCCUGAUGCAGCAACGCCGCGUGAGGGAAGACGGUCUUCGGAUUGUAAACCUCUGUCUUUAGUGAAGAAGACAGUGACGGUAGCUAAAGAGGAAGCCACGGCUAACUACGUGCCAGCAGCCGCGGUAAUACGUAGGUGGCAAGCGUUAUCCGGAAUUACUGGGUGUAAAGGGAGCGCAGGCGGGACUGCAAGUUGGAUGUGAAAUACCGCAGCUUAACUGCGGAGCUGCAUCCAAAACUGUAGUUCUUGAGUGAAGUAGAGGUAGGCGGAAUUCCGAGUGUAGCGGUGAAAUGCGUAGAUAUUCGGAGGAACACCGGUGGCGAAGGCGGCCUACUGGGCUUUUACUGACGCUGAGGCUCGAAAGUGUGGGGAGCAAACAGG
rnacentral:rRNA from 1 species